rnacentral:rRNA from 1 species
GAUGAACGCUGGCGGCGUGCUUAACACAUGCAAGUCGAACGAAACACCUUAUUUGAUUUUCUUCGGAACUGAAGAUUUGGUGAUUGAGUGGCGGACGGGUGAGUAACGCGUGGGUAACCUGCCCUGUACAGGGGGAUAACAGUCAGAAAUGACUGCUAAUACCGCAUAAGACCACAGCACCGCAUGGUGCAGGGGUAAAAACUCCGGUGGUACAGGAUGGACCCGCGUCUGAUUAGCUGGUUGGUGAGGUAACGGCUCACCAAGGCGACGAUCAGUAGCCGGCUUGAGAGAGUGAACGGCCACUUUGGGGCUGAGACACGGCCCAAACUCCUACGGGAGGCAGCAGUGGGGAAUAUUGCACAAUGGGGGAAACCCUGAUGCAGCGACGCCGCGUGAGUGAAGAAGUAUUUCGGUAUGUAAAGCUCUAUCAGCAGGGAAGAAAAUGACGGUACCUGACUAAGAAGCCCCGGCUAACUACGUG